rnacentral:miRNA from 1 species
CUGAGUGAUGACUGCUGACC